CCUACGGGUGGCUGCAGUGGGGGAUAUUGCACAAUGGGGGAAACCCUGAUGCAGCGACGCCGCGUGUGGGAAGACGGUCCUCUGGAUUGUAAACCACUGUCCCCAGGGACGAAGAUGACGGUACCUGAGGAGGAAGCUCCGGCUAACUACGUGCCAGCAGCCGCGGUAAUACGUAGGGCGCAAGCGUUGUCCGGAAUUACUGGGUGUAAAGGGAGAGUAGGCGGGAUGGUAUGUUGGGUGUUAAAUCUACCGGCUAAACUGGUAGUCGCACUCAAAACUGCUAUUCUUGAGUGAAGUAGAGGCAGGCGGAAUUCCUAGUGUAGCGGUGAAAUGCGUAGAUAUUAGGAGGAACACCAGUGGCGAAGGCGGCCUGCUGGGCUUUUACUGACGCUGAGGCUCGAAAGUGUGGGGAGCAAACAGGAUUAGAUACCCCAGUAGUC
rnacentral:rRNA from 1 species